rnacentral:rRNA from 1 species
UGAGUACGAGACGCUAAGGCGUCGAAGUAGUGUAUGUCAUACUUCCAAGAAAAGCUUGCACUGUCAUAGAUAAAAAACGCCUGUACCAUAACCGACACAGGUGGGUAGGUAGAGUAUACUAAGGGGCGCGAGAUAACUCUCUCUAAGGAACUCGGCAAAAUAACUCCGUAACUUCGGGAGAAGGAGUGCCUUAUUCGUAAGGUUGCAAUAACAAGAUCCAAGCAACUGUUUAUCAAAAACACAGGUCUCCGCUAAGUCGUAAGACGAUGUAUGGGGGCUGACGCCUGCCCAGUGCCAGAAGGUUAAAGAAGUUGGUUAGCAAUUGCGAAGCUGAUAACUGAAGCCCUGGUGAACGGCGGCCGUAACAAUAACGGUCCUAAGGUAGCGAAAUUCCUUGUCGGGUAAGUUCCGACCCGCACGAAAGGCGUAAUGAUUUGGAUACUGUCUCGGAGAGGGGCUCGGUGAAAUAGACUUGUCUGUGAAGAUGCGGACUACCUGCACCAGGACAGAAAGACCCUAUGAAGCUUUACUGUAACUUGAAAUUGAAAUUGGACUUUAUUCGCGCAGUAUAGGUGGGAGGCGUUGAUUAUAAUCUUGUGGGAUUAUUGGAGCCAUCAGUGAGAUACCACUCUUGUAAUGUUAGAUUUCUAACUUUGAAUCAUUAUCUGGUCAAAGAACAGUUUCAGGCGGGCAGUUUGACUGGGGCGGUCGCCUCCUAAACGGUAACGGAGGCGUACAAAGGUUUCCUCUGAACGGUUAGAAAUCGUAUCUAGAGUGUAAAGGCAUAAGGAAGCUUGACUGUGAGACCUACAAGUCGAGCAGGGACGAAAGUCGGUCUUAGUGAUCUGACGGUACUGAGUGGAAAGGCCGUCACUCAACGGAUAAAAGUUACUCUAGGAUAACAGGCUGAUCUCCCCCAAGAGUUCACAUCGACGGGGAGGUUUGGCACCUCGAUGUCGGCUCAUCGCAUCCUGGGGCGGUAGUACGUCCCAAGGGUUGGGCUGUUCGCCCAUGAAAGCGGUACGCGAGCUGGGCUCAGAACGUCGUGAGACAGUUCGGUCCAUAUCCGGUGUAGGCGUUAGAAUAUUGAGAGGAGCCUUCUUUAGUACGAGAGGACCGAGAAGGACAUACCUCUGGUGUACCAGUUAUCGUGCCAACGGUAAACGCUGGGUAGCUAUGUAUGGAGUGGAUAACCGCUGAAAGCAUCUAAGUGGGAAGCCCACCUCAAGAUAAGUAUUCUCAUC